UGAUUACACCAUAGAUUUAAUGCACUAGAUUCCAUUAGAACUCUGCAGUUAAGCACACUCGAGCUAGAGUAAUACUGGGAUGAGUGACCGCCUAGGAAGUCCUAGUGUUUUGACAU
rnacentral:rRNA from 1 species